AAGCGAGUCUGAACAGGGCGUAUAGUCGGUAGUGGUAGACGCGAAACCAAGUGAUCUACCCUUGAGCAGGUUGAAGUUGAGGUGAAACUCAAUGGAGGACCGAACCGACUACCGUUGAAAAGUUAGCGGAUGACUUGUGGCUAGGGGAGAAAUUCCAAUCGAACCCGGAGAUAGCUGGUUCUCCCCGAAAUAGCUUUAGGGCUAGCGUUGGAAAGAACCUUAGUGAAGGUAGAGCACUGAAUGUGUGAUGGCCCCAUCCCGGGGUACUGAAUACAAUCAAACUGCGAAUGUCAUUAAGGAUGUCCGGCAGUCAGACUGUGAGUGAUAAGGUCCAUGGUCAAGAGGGAAACAGCCCAGACCGCCAGUUAAGGUCCCAAAAUACAGGCUAAGUGGAAAAGGAUGUGGGGAUGCCCAGACAACUAGGAGGUUGGCUCAGAAGCAGCCAUCCUUUAAAGAGUGCGUAACAGCUCACUAGUCGAGUGACCCUGCGCCGAAAAUGUACCGGGGCUAAGCCUGAUACCGAAACUGCGGAUUGUAGGAAACUAUAGUGGUAGGGGAGCGUUGUAUACGAGUAGAAGCCGUACCGUGAGGAGCGGUGGAUUGUAUAGAAGUGAGAAUGCCGGUGUGAGUAGCGAGAUGUAGGUGAGAAUCCUACACACCGAAAGCCCAAGGAUUCCAGGGGAAGGUUCGUCCGCCCUGGGUAAGUCGGGACCUAACGCGAGGCCGAAAGGCGUAGUGGAUGGAAAGCAGGCGAAAGAUUCCUGCACCCGUAUAUGGAGCGAAGGAGUGACGGAGACGGAUAGUGUGACCCUCUUAAUGGAUUGAGGGCGAAGCGAAGCGGCUGGUUACCAGGCAAAUCCGGUAACCUUAAGGCUAGAGCGUGACAGGCAAGCGAAAUCUAAGGAAAGUAGCGAAGCACAUGAUGACGGCUUCCAGGAAAAGCUUCUGGCAAUGCAUAUGCGGCCCGUACCAAAACCGACACAGGUGGGCAGGGAGAGAAUCCCGAGGUGAGCGAGAGAACUGUUGCCAAGGAACUCGGCAAAAUGACUCCGUAAGUUAGCGAGAAGGAGUGCUUAAGCAAUUAAGCCGCAGUGAAGAGGCCCAAGCGACUGUUUAACUAAAACACAGCUCUCUGCGAAGUCGCAAGACGAAGUAUAGGGGGUGACACCUGCCCGGUGCUGGAAGGUUAAGAGGAUCUGUUAAGAGCGAUCUGAAGCAGUGAUCCGAAGCCCCAGUGAACGGCGGCCGUAACUAUAACGGUCCUAAGGUAGCGAAAUUCCUUGUCAGGUAAGUUCUGACCC
rnacentral:rRNA from 1 species